rnacentral:lncRNA from 1 species
AUGUCUGGCUACAGGAAGGAAUCGGGCGCGAAUGAUUUGGGGAUAAGGGAAAAUACUUCGCGACUUUCAAGACGGAAGGCGUAUUGGCUCUUAGAAUUUGAAGUUUCGUGCUCGGGCACCUGCUCAGAGUCCUGCCCUCCACCAGAGUUGUCACCACGGUUUACUUGUCCCGAGCUCCUGCAGGAUAGGUGCCGCAUUCUAUUCACCUUGGUUGAACCGCCCCGGCUUCUGCACACUUGGCACUUCAUUCACGUUGAAUGUAUCCUGCUUUCUCCCACCCCAUUUACUCGUUUCAUUACCUAAAUUGUUCAACAAACUCGGUUUGCUGAACCGAAUUUUUUUUUCUUGAUAUGAUGUUGGGGGAGAGAGGGGAGUUUUCCUCAGGAAUAUUCCCUAUUUCCAUCUGAUGGAACCAGAUCUCCAAUGGCCGAGCCUCUGAAAGGCACAGACCGUCAUGAAAGCCUGAUAGAUUGUCUUAAAUAAUUCAUUAUGAGGCCGGGCGCGGUGGCUCACGCCUGUAAUCCCAGCACUUUGGGGGGCUGAGGCGGGUGGAUCACGAGGUCAGGAGUUCCAGACCAGCCUGGCCAACAUGAUGAAACCCUAUCUCUACUAAAAAUACAAAAAUUAGCCGGGCAUAGUGGUGCGCCCUGUAGUCCCAGCUACUCGGGAGACAGACAGGAGAAUCGCUUGAACCCGGGAGGCGGAGGUUGCGGUGAGCCGAGAUCGCGCCACUACACUCCAGCCUAGGCAACAGAGCGAGACUCCGUCUCAAAAAUAAUAAUAAUAACAAUUCAUUAUGAAAAUCUGUGCAAGUCAUAUCACUUUUUAUUAGAUCUGAAUACAAAACGUUGGUAGCAGGCGGCAAAAAUUUAAUAACAUAGAUGAGAGUAAAUUUCAAUAUUGGGGAAAUUCCAUCCAUUGCUUUUAAAUAUUUCUGUAAGUUUGAAAAAAGUAUCAUUAUUUUGUUUCCUGGGCAGAACAUCGCAGUCUAGCUUUGCGAUUUCAAAACCAAAGCAUAGUUUGAGACGUAGGUGACAACUGAUAAUGAACCGAUAACUGGACUCUAUAAAACUGAUGACCUUAGCCACCAUGUCUCAUAUUCUUAAAGGCAAGUCCCAACAAGAUGCAGAAUAAAUCUAUCGGUAAUGCAAUUCUCCAGGGAUCAAGUGGCAAAUGCACUGUAGUUAAAUUAUGGUACAAUAGAAUGCCACGAAGCCACUAAAACUGAUAAACAUUUUUUAAAAAUUGAUAUAGAAAAAAUAUUCCAUUUAUGUAGAAUUGCCUCCGAGUGUUUUUUUUGCUCCGCCUCCCGGGUUCACGCCAUUCUCCUGCCUCAGCCUCCCGAGUAGCUGGGACUACAGGCGCCCACCACCUCGCCCGGCUAGUUUUUUCUAUUUUUUUAGUAGAGGCGGGGACUGCAGUGUUGACAGGAUGGUCUCGAUCUCCUGACGCCCUGCGUGAUCAGCCGAUCCGGCCUCCCAAAGUGCUGGGAUUACAGGCUUGAGCCACAGCGCCCGGCCCGAGUGUGUUUUGUUUGUUUGUUGAGUCGAGUCUCAGUCGCUUGGGCUGCAGUUCAGUGGCCUUGGGUCUCUACUCACUGCAAGCUCAUACUCGGGUUCGCGUCAUUCUCACCAUAAGCCUCCCGGUAGCUGGGACUGGGGCAUGCCACGCCGGCUAAUUUUUUUUGUGUAUUUUUUAGUAGAGAGACGGGGUUUCACCGUGUUAGCCACGCUGGUCUCGAUCUCCUGACCUCGUGAUGCGCUCGCCUCGGCCUCCCAAAGUGCUGGGAUUACAGGCGUGAGCCACCGCGCCCAGCCAACCUCCAAGUAUGUUUAUAAAGAGGUUUUUAGAAGGCUCUCUGGGGCUCCGUGCAGUGGCUCAUGCCUGUAAUCCCAAACACUUUGGGAAGUGGAAGUGGGAGGAUCACUUGAGGCCAGGAGUCUGAGACCAGCCUGGGCAACAUAGUGAGUGCCCAUCUCUACAGAAAAUAGAAAAGCUAGCCCAGCCUGGUGGUGGAUGCCUGUAGUCACCACUACUGGGGAGUCUGAGGUGGGAGGAAACUCUUCAGCCCAGGAGUUCAAGAUUACAGCAAAUUAUGAUUGUGCCACUCACUCCAGUCUGAGCCACAGAGUGAGAUCCUGUCUCAGAAAAAAAAAAAAAAAAAAGGUGGCUGGGAGCAGUGGCUCACACCUGUAAUCCCAGCACUUUGGGAGGCCGAGGCUGAUGGAUUGCCGAAGGUCAGGAGUUCGAGACCAGACUGGCCAACAUGGUGAAACCCCGUCUCUACUAAAAAUACAAAAAUUAGCAGGUCGUGGUGUGGUGAUGGGCUUUUCUUUUUUCUUUUCUUUUUUUUUUUUCCCCAGACGGAGUCUUGCUGUUGCCCAAAGCUGGAGUGCAGUGGCAUGAUCUCGGCUCACUGCAACCUCCGCCUCCCAGGUUCAAACAAUUCUCCUGUCUCAGCCUCCCGAGUAGCUUAGUUGCCCAUGUUAUGCACCCCUAGCAUACUGUACUUCCCAUACCAGGCCAGUCCCCACUCUUCAAGGCAGUGGCUUGUCUAAUUGACUCUUUCCCCCAGCCAGAUGGUGAACAAAGUGAGGGCAAGGACUGUACCCAUGAGACUCCUGUGUUCCCAGUGCCCAGCAGAAUGCCAGGCACAGUUUGCACAUGGUAGUUCACGCCUGUAAUCUCAGCAUUUUGGGAGGCCGAGGCAGACAGAUCACUUGAGGUGAUCUGUCCAGCCUGGCCAACAUGUUGAAACCCACCUCUAUCAAAAAUACAAAAAUUAGCCAGGCGUGGUGGUGGGCGCCUGUAAUCCCAGCUACUAAGGAGGCUGAGGCAAGAGAAUUGCUUGAACCCUGAAGGCAGAGGUUGCCGUGAGCCGAGAUCGCGCCACUGCACUCCAGCUUGGGCAACAGAGUGAGACUCCACCAAAAAAAAAAAAAGCCAGGCACAGAGAAAGCUCUCCACACAUACUUACUGAGAAAAAGAACCCCUGAAUAGAUAACUGCAUUAAUAAAUCAAUUUUCUGAAUCUGUUCAGAUGAGGACCAAACCUUCAGUUCCCCAAGGUGAUAUCCUAUCCCUUGUUGAAACAUCUUGGAGAGUUUUCUGACAGCAAUGUCCCUCUGCAACACUGUGUAGACCCUCCAGCAGCCACCGGACCAAGGUCAAUCCAGUAUAAACUUGGUGGCAAUAGAAAGUUUUCACUCAUCAGUUAAACAGGAGCACUGUAUUAGCCACCGGGCAUACCUUGAUUUAGAAUAAGGGGCACCCAGGCCAACACUGAACAUGUAUAACACUGAACACGUACAACACUGAACAUGUACAACAAACAAUAAUGUAUAAAAUGGAGGUAUUGCAGGGUAACCUCUUGAGGGUUAUUUUCUACUGGUGGUGGGUGGUUUAAGGAUGGUUUAAGGUGACAUCUGAGCUGUGUCUAAAGGGCAACAGAAGUUAAGUUAGCCACACUAUUCUGACUUGUCCACCUCAGAGUACUUUCAAAGAAAGAAAAGCUCCUACUAACUUUUAAAUCAGCCAAGAGUAUUGUUUCAUCAAAAGAGUUGAAUUUCAUGUUUGUUGCAUACUAUUGGGGUUGUAGGUAGUGAAAAAGAGUGUUUGCCUCUUCACAGAACAAAGAGCUUAUUGUUUAAUAUGAUUACACAAUACCAUCUUUCCGAGCUAACCCUGAUUUUAGUCCUUGUAGGAAUUUGGCCAGUUUCUGCAUUUGCUAUAGAUGUCCACAUUUCUGGCAGACACUGAAAGAUUUAGAAAAUGAUUGUACUUUAUACACAGAUCACUCAGGCAUACUGAUGGCAGGCUAUGGAGUGUACUAUUAGAUUGGCACACACCAGGGUGCCAGCUCUAGCAGAAAGAGGAUUUUUAAAAUAAAAACUCUUCUCAUGUAUGAACUAUUGGGAGAGAGUAUGUGCAUUUCGAAAAUUCGAAUACGUAUAUUGCAUAUUUCAGAGUAUUGGGAUUCAUUAAUUUUGUUCUGAUAUACUUCCCCAAGUCUCGCCUAUAAUUAUAAACUUCAAGGACAUGGAAACAACGUUCAUGUAUAGAGACAAUGGAAAAGAAAAAUACAAAAUACAAGUAAGUUUAGGCUUUAUUGAAAAUCACGGGGCCCGGCGUGGUAGCACAUAUCUGUAAUCCCAGCACUUUGGGAGUUCGAGGCAGGGGGAUUGCUUGAGGCCAGGAGUUCAAGACCAGCCUGGGCAACAUAGGGAGACCCCAUCUCCACAAAAAAUAAAAAAUUAGCCUUAGCCAAGUGUGGUGGUGCGUACCUGUAGUCACAGCUACUUGGGAGGCUGAGGCAGGAGGAUUGUUUGAGCCUGAGAAGUUGAGGCUGCAGUGAGCUGUGAUCAUGCCAGUGCAUUCCAGCCUGGGUGACAGAGUAAGACUCUGUCUCAAAACAAAGCAAAUUUUUUUUUUGAGAUGGAGUCUUGCUGUGUCACCUAGGCUAGCGUGCAAAGUGAGACCCUGACUCAAAACAAUUAAAAAUUUUUUUUUUUUUUUGAGACAGAGUCUCACUGUGUUACCCAGCCUAGAGUGCAGUUGGUAUGAUCUCGGCUCAAUGCAAUCCCGGGUUCAAGUGAUUCUCUGCCUCAGCUCUCCUGAGUAGCUGGGAUGGCAGCACGAAUGCCCAGCUAAUUUUGUAUUUUAGUAGAGAUGGGUUUCACCCAUGCUGGUCAGGGCUGGUUUCAAACUCCCCGGACUGCGGAUCCGGCUGGCCUCACUCUCCCAAAGUGCUGGACUACAGGCGGAGCCAAUGGUGCCCAGUCAAACAAUUCUUACAUGGAGUCUCUUCUGUCAGCCUAGGCUGGAGUGCAGUGGCCAGAUCUCAGCUCACUGCAGUCUGGC